GCAGGAUAGGUGGGAGGCGUUGAAAGUUUUCUUGCGGGAAGAUUUGAGCCAUUAGUGAGAUACCACUCUAACAAUGCUAGGAUUCUAACCCUAUGUCGUUAUCCGGCUAGGGGACAGUUUCAGGUGGUCAGUUUGACUGGGGCGGUCGCCUCCUAAAAGGUAACGGAGGCGUGCAAAGGUUCCCUCAGGCUGGUUGGAAAUCAGUCGUAGAGUGUAAAGGCAUAAGGGAGCUUGAUUGUGAGACCUACAAGUCGAACAAAGACGAAAGUCGGCCUUAGUGAUCCGGCGGUACCGAGUGGAAGGGCCGUCGCUCAACGGAUAAAAGUUACUCUAGGGAUAACA
rnacentral:rRNA from 1 species